rnacentral:ncRNA from 1 species
GUGUUCGUAGAAAGGAGAGAUGGUUGGCAUCUCCCCCGCCAGGGACAGGAACAGCCUUCGGGCUUUACCUGUGUAUUUGUUGUCAUGCUCCACAGUUUUUC